UGUCCUUGUUCACAAAACGAAUCCAUAGUUUUUGCUCAUGUUGGUGACACGAGCAAAAACUAUGGAUUCUUUUUGUGAACAAAGACG
rnacentral:miRNA from 1 species